rnacentral:lncRNA from 1 species
AGCCACUUUGUCCCUAGCCAGUACCUCUUCAAUGCAGCCCUUCCUGGCUUCCUGGCUGUGCAGUUACUCACAGGCUGCCUGGGUUCAGGGCGUUGCUGGGCUCUCGCAGCUCAGAACUUCAUGGAGAAUGAAAGAGUCGCUCCCAGGAUGCGCUUUUAAACCCUAAAGGACAGAUCAUUGGAAAACCCCCUCUUCUCCCCGCAGUAAGUCUGGGAGUUUCCGAUCCAGGCUGUAAGUUGACUUGUUUGCUGGGAACCCAAGUCCUGCGGCUGAGAUUGCAAAAGGCCAGAUUUUAUUUUCCUUCUAUAUAUUUGCUACUUAAGGGAGGCAGAACUUUAAGUACCCAUGAGUACAAAUUCUUAGCUCCCUGAUCAAAUCUAAUAGGCUUGCAUUAGUUUUAAAUAAGUAAGGAUUUAAAGUGGACAAGAACAGAAUUGACAGAGGCUGGAAUCCAUUUGUAGCUAGAACUAAUAGAGAUGAGAACAGAAUGGAGUGUGAGGAGGUCUACCUAAGGGAAUGCAGGUGUUUUAAAUACUUCCUCAAGCAAGAGAACCUAUGGAGGUGCAGGAUCUAGCCUAAGGCUCUUUCCUUUUGCAACCCCAUUGCAAACCAUUGUAUUGGUUUCCGGCCCACUGUUUUAGGUACAAUUACUUCCCCUCUCUUAGGUACUAGCGAACCAAAAACAUUUGAGGGAGUACUUAUCAGAAACCAAAUAAAAGAUGUGGAGACCUGAGAGACUGCCCAAGAAAAUGAUGGAAGGCUGCCAAGGUGCCCCUGCAGGAGCUCACUGUACAGCUAGAGACACCGCAUCCCUGUCUUCUUUGCAAUGCCCUGGGUUCUGAAAUUGCCUUUCACUUUAACCCUUGGAUUACCUACAACCUGGAGAGAUAAAAGGACAAAGGAAAAGCAAAGGUGUAAUUUAAACGAGGAGGCUUUUCCCAUUGAGAUACAUCCAUAUCGGACAUGCCUUAUUUUCUUAGUAAAGAAAAUAUGAAAAUAUUAAACUCACGGGAGUUAAAGUAAGUGGCUUUUUUUUUUUCUUUCAUUUUCGGUCCAAAAUUUACUAGAGGCGUGGGUAAACUCCAUCAAGGCUGUGUGCUGUGUUUCCACUUUGUUAUGUCGGGACACCAAGUAAACAAGGAUUCACUCGCUGACGCUCAAUUGUGCUGCCUCAUUAUGAAUCAGCAUACAUUUUAUUUGUAUACUAAUAAAAGGAAACAAUGAGAAACAUAGAGCCUUGGGAAUAUGGAGGAAGCCUGAAGAUCUAUCUGUAAAGGAGAAUUAGAAAUUUCAUCUCAGUGUGUAUACUUCUUGAACAAAAAUGGAAAGUUCUUUUAUAAAACCAAUCUCAUGGCCCAUGGGUAUGAAGUACUGUU